UCCACCAGGCCAUGCAAAAAACCUGCACACAUCUCCGCAGCACCCAUCUCCACAAAGCCCGCACAACAGUCCCCUGUGGAAACAAAGGAAUCGUAGCUGCCAAGGACUUGAACAGCCCCUGGCAAAAACCAGCAAAGGGAAGGGAAUGAAGGGGAUGAAGGGAAUGAAGGAUGACGUCAUCUGGCCAGGCUCUGUGGAAACCUCAAACCACCCAGGUGGUGUCCUCUGGAUCAACAGUAAUUGAGAAUGGGUGAUUGUAGCCACCACUGAUCAUGCUGCAGGUGUCCUUGCAAACAGGAAUCAUUCUAGAUUGAUGUGAUCCUGGGUGCAUCCCAGCCAGCACUCUUCCUACCGUGGCCAAAGAGAUGACACUGAGACACACUCCUGUGAUGACCAGAUGACUGACCUUGUAGAAAACAACGUUUGCUCCAUUUGCCAGAAGCUGCUGUGUUCUACUUAGAGGCAGAGUGCUUAAACAAAGGAGGAAAACAGCUUUUGCCAUUGCAUAAAAGACUUACAAUCAGAGUCAGACGAACUUUCCCGAACCUAGCUUUCAACCUGUCACACAAAUUACUGCCUGCUUAGUGCUGCCAAGGGAAAAGCUCUCUGUUUCCAUCGACAGUGACUGAUUAAACAUCACCAUAACCUUAAAGAACUAGGUCUCCCAGGAAGGCUUGUGAGGGAGUUGAAGUGUCAUCAGUCGGUCACUGAUGCCGUUUGGAAGAUUAGCGAGUUUUGGAACAAUGUGGGAUUUGACUGCAAAGCCAACACCUGCCUCCCGACGUUCCUCGCUACUGCAUCCAUUCCAGAAGAAGGAUGUAUCUACCGCUACGUUCUGAUAUUUGUCCCUCACCUGGUAGGCGUGUUUCACUUAGAGCUGCUAUGUCUACAUUGUAGCGGGCAAGUUCUCUAGAGACCAGUGCUGUUCUUCUUUCUGGUAUAUCAGCCACUGCAUUGUCACGGAGGGAUAGGACGUUCCAUGUACCGAGGGCAGAAGACAGCACAUCAAAACUACAGCCCAUCAGACUGACCACACACACAGGUACUAAGGACCAAGCCAACUGGAAGACCCCAGGGCCUUCUGGAGCAGCCCAGCUUACAGGUUCAGCACAAGACACAGGGCACGGGAGAGGGGGCACCCGCAGGACCCGAUGGUGAGGGAGCAAGAGCUGACGGGGGGGGGGGCACCGAUGACGUCAUCGCUCCCGAAUGCCAUCACUUGAUGAUGUCACCGCGAGCCCACCGGCACCUGGCAAGUCACAGGCUUUGGGAAACCAUCUUGCUAGGAAGCCCAGAAGAUCCCUGCCAAUCAAUGCCCACCUCUCCUUGGUAGUGCUCUGCCAUGCUCUGUGGGUCCUGAGUCUGAACCAGGGCUGUACUGGAGUGUGGUUCCAGCACCCAUAGUAUUGAGCCAUUUAUCACAUAGUACCAAUCCAUAAGAAAAAAAGUCAUGGACUUUUAAGGGUCUUUAACAUCUACUCGCUCAUUUGAAACAUGAGUAUCUUUGUCCCUGAAUUUUUAGCUCUCACAGAAUGAGGUGCAGCACCUGGAAGAGUUGAGACAGGUCUGAUUUGGAAUACACCCCAGUGUCCAGCUGAGUGUGUGUGUGUGUGCUUGUGUCACAGGGCAGGUGUGGGUGACUGCUAUGGUCUUGGAUGAGUGUUCUCUACAUGAAUGACAGCUUGAAGGGAGGGACAGGGCACCCAGUAGAGAAACACAACAGACGCUACAACCUGAAAUCAGAUAUCCAAAUUUCCACACAGUGUAAAAUCAACUGCCUUACUGUGUAGAAAAAAAAAACAACAGUAAAAUUUAAAAGCAGUCAAAAACAUAAGAGGCACAGUAUACAGUAAGAGGCACAUUGCAACCAGCUGGGCUUUGGGUAAAUAUACUGUAAAUAUUCUGGGAAGGUUCUGCCAGGAAAAGCUUAAAUUUAAGGCUGUCAGCUGACGAGUAAAUAUUUGUAUUAUGUUGCGCCGCUGUUGCACUUGUUUGCACAACAACGUUUUUGGCGCCGCCUUGUGGUUAACAAAUAAACCUUUUUCGCAAUGCAGACAACAAUUCCUACAGCGCCUCAGUCAGAAAGAUACACUCCUUUAGUCUACUUCCACCUAGUGGAGAGAAACUAGGUUUUAAAUUAAUUUAAAGGGAGGAAGAACCACUACUACUACGGGGCUUUUCAUUGAAAGGUCAACUUAUGACGGAAACGUCUCGUCAUUGCUUUCAAACGUUCAUCACCACGCGCCUCAGGUGUAGCUGAACGUCAGAAUAUCGCCGUUUUUCUUCAUGCAGAAACAUCCAUCUGAUCCAUUCCAACAUCAUGGGGGAGCCAGAGCCUAUCCCGGCAAGUAUAAAGUGAAAGGUGGGACCUGGACUGGACACUCCAUCACAGGGGCACACACACA